AGAGUUUGAUCCUGGCUCAGAUUGAACGCUGGUAGCAUGCUUAACACAUGCAAGUCGAACGGUAACAGGAGAAGCUUGCUUCUUGCUGACGAGUGGCGGACGGGUGAGUAACGCGUAGGAAUCUGCCCAUCUGUGGGGGAUACCAGUUGGAAACGACUGUUAAUACCGCAUAAUAUCUGCGGAUUAAAGGUGGCCUUUGUGCUGCCGCAGAUGGAUGAGCCUGCGUUAGAUUAGCUUGUUGGUGGGGUAAGGGCCUACCAAGGCUACGAUCUAUAGCUGAUUUGAGAGGAUGAUCAGCCACAUUGGGACUGAGACACGGCCCAAGCUCCUACGGGAGGCAGCAGUGGGGAAUAUUGGACAAUGGAGGAAACUCUGAUCCAGCAAUGCCAUGUGUGUGAAGAAGGCUCUAGGGUUGUAAAGCACUUUAGUUGGGGAGGAAAGCCUUAUAGUUAAUAGCUAUGAGGAAGGACGUUACCCAAAGAAUAAGGACCGGCUAACUCCGUGCCAGCAGCCGCGGUAAUACGGGGGGUCCGAGCGUUAAUCGGAAUUACUGGGCGUAAAGGGUCUGUAGGUGGUUUGUUAAGUCAGAUGUGAAAGCCCAGGGCUCAACCUUGGAACUGCAUUUGAUACUGGCAAACUAGAGUAUAGUAGAGGAAUGGGGAAUUUCUGGUGUAGCGGUGAAAUGCGUAGAGAUCAGAAGGAACACCAAUGGCGAAGGCGGCCUCCUGGCUCGAUACUGACGCUGAGGUGCGAAAGCGUGGGUAGCAAACAGGAUUAGAUACCCUGGUAGUCCACGCCGUAAACGAUGUCUACUAGCCGUUGGGAGACUUGAUUUCUUAGUGGCGCAGCUAACGCACUAAGUAGACCGCCUGGGGAGUACGGCCGCAAGGUUAAAACUCAAAUGAAUUGACGGGGGCCCGCACAAGCGGUGGAGCAUGUGGUUUAAUUCGAUGCAACGCGAAGAACCUUACCAGGUCUUGACAUCCUGCGAAUUUUCUAGAGAUAGAUUAGUGCCUUCGGGAACGCAGUGACAGGUGCUGCAUGGCUGUCGUCAGCUCGUGUCGUGAGAUGUUGGGUUAAGUCCCGUAACGAGCGCAACCCUUGUCCUUAGUUGCCAGCGAGUAAUGUCGGGAACUCUAAGGAGACUGGGCCUGACAAACCGGAGGAAGGUGGGGACGACGUCAAGUCAUCAUGGCCCUUACGACCUGGGCUACACACGUGCUACAAUGGAACGCACAGAGGGUUGCAACCCCGCGAGGGUGAGCUAAUCCCACAAAACGUUUCGUAGUCCGGAUUAGAGUCUGCAACUCGACUCCAUGAAGUCGGAAUCGCUAGUAAUCGCGGAUCAGAAUGCCGCGGUGAAUACGUUCCCGGGCCUUGUACACACCGCCCGUCACACCAUGGGAGUGGGUUGCUCCAGAAGUGGUUAGCCUAACCUUCGGGAGGGCGAUCACCACGGAGUGAUUCAUGACUGGGGUGAAGUCGUAACAAGGUA
rnacentral:rRNA from 2 species